GGGGAGGUUGGUCUCUGUAGGGCCAAAACUAAUUCACCACAACGAGGAGGAAAGCCCAGAGCUCAUUGCUGAACCUAUUGUUGACGCGUUGCUAUUCCGUACGCGUGUUUAACAGCUCUAAAAGCCAUGCCCUGAAGCUGAUCUACUGAUAAAUUGCUCUGCAGCUCCCUCUAAUGGAUCGUUUGGCCAGACAGGGGCUCGGGGCAGCAGAUGCGAUAAAGCAGCGCCCGCUGCAGGGUAACACCGAGAGAGCUCUGCAGCACCAUCGUUGCCGCUGUUAUCUCUCCCCGUCCAUCCGUCACUUCACUCUUAUCUCAGCAUCUGCUGCAGCUCUGCUUCUAAGAGCUGAGAGGAGCAGGCACAGCUAAACCAGAAGGUGAUACCCAUAAAAGCCGUAUUUCAUUUGCACGCACAACAGUCUCUGCCUGUCACAUUUCUAUCUCGUGCUUAUGGGUACCAGCAAGAUUCAGUCUGAUCAUUUGUGUCAAACCCCACCUGCAGAUAGCUACAACACUGCUGGUUUUUUAGAAGAAGGAGGCCCACAGCUCACAGACGAGAGCACCUGAGGUGACUUGUGGCGAUGGAUUCAUUCAGGAAAUAAUCUUUUGGUCCACGUAGGCCAUGCACAGCCUUUCCACAGAAUGACAGAAUCGUUAAGGUUGGACGAGACCUCUCAGAUCACCCAGUCCAACCACCAGCCCAUCUUCUCCAUGCCCACUGACCACGUCCCUCAGUGCCACAUCCACAUGAGUCUUGAACACCUCCAGGGACGGUGACUCCAACCCCUCCCUGGGCAGCUGUGCCACUGCCAGAUGCCAUGGGACAGCUGCAUGAGCAUCUGAGACAGGUAAUCAAGCAACAAGUUCCCCAUACCAAUACAAAUCUCAGUUGCAGUCUAGGUGCAAUUGGAGCUACCCCACAGCCUCGCAGCAGGACUCAGCCAGGAGGCCAAUGCUCAGGGCUCAGCUAACGAGGCUGUCAGCACAUAUACAUGAUGUAUCCAUGUUGUCUGGGGUUAUAACUUACGGUUUUGGCACUCUUUCACAAGGCAUAACAAGAAUCUUGCCUGGAGCGUUCAGUGAGAUACAGACUAAGAAGGUGGAGGCACUAAAGGAAAAGACCAAUCCAACAAGCAACUGACAGAUAAAGUAGAUGUGAGGAAAUCACAGAGCUGAGCUGCCAGGACACUCCUGCAAGCAGCUCACCAUACGGUCCAGGAUUCAGAUGUAGUUCCAGCGUUGCCAUAAGCCCAUCUGAGCCCGCUGUCCCUUCUGUCCCGGCCCUUUGUUUUGAGAAGCAACAUCCUCAGUGUCCAGUGCAUGGGGCCUGCAGCUGCAAGGAAAGGCUGGUCAGCAGCCUGCCCUUGCUCCACAGCAUGAGGGAAAAGCAGCCAGUUCCCAGCAGGAUCAGCAAACUGCUCUACGUUGUCAUAAGGCCGUACGACUGCAGAGUGGGCAGAAGAAAGGUGGUUAUGAUGUACUGCAAGGGCAAGGGGGAGGCUGCUACUUCUCUCUUUUUCCUCUUUUCCACAGGCAGCCUGCAGUUAUAUUUCCCUAAGCUGACCAUGAAGGGACAAAGCAGCUUCUUAUGAAGUGGAGAUGACAACGCUUUGCUGGUGGUAAAAAAUAAAAAUAAAAAAUAAAAAAAUAGAUCUAAUGUUGUGAUUGUACAGCUGGGGAAAAAAAUAGUCGGCCAAGUAUGUCAGACAACAAAAAUAAGCAAAAAUUACUUUGAUUUGGCUUCUACUAAAGGGACUAAAAAUAAAUACUUCUUUCAGAGGCCCCUUCUCAGAACAGGGGAUCGUGGAGGACCCACAAUCCUUAUAUCAAAACACUGAAUUAGUGAAUCUGGA
rnacentral:lncRNA from 1 species